CACUUAAUCGAAAUCGACCUCUGCUCCUCUGCUCGUCACCUCCGUUGGACUGCUGCUGCUGCUGCUGCUGCUAUGCUCCAUCGUCGCGAUCGAGACGGCGCGAGCUGCUCGUCGCCUCUGUUCUGGUUUUCGAUUGACUGUGAUUAGAAUGUUCAGAAGCUUCAUGAAUAAGCUGCAUUUGAUGUUUCCCGCAACUGUUUGUGUCCCUUGCUUGCUCUCCUCUUUGUGAACUAUAAUUAAUUGGGACUUCAAAUUUUCAAUCUUUUCACGUUUUCCUCGAAUCUUCCUUUGUCAAAAUCAAGAUGGAAUCUUCCUUUCAUGUUUUCAUGUGCGCUAUCAUCGGCACUUCAAGUGUUCAAUUUCCUUGCAUUCGAUUAUAUAUAUCAUAGCUGCAUUUAUGUGUUUAAUGUUAAUCCCGGUCUCCAUUUCUUUUAACGGUCCUAUUGCUUCGUGCAAAUGAUGAUAAAAAAGACAGGGACAUCAGCAACUCCUUUGAGGAUGAUGAUUUGUCGUUGGGAAUCUCUCUGAUGCACGAAAGCCUUUUCUACUCUGCAUAGCAGAGUUGUUUUUUUACGAUAAAAAUGUUUCUAUUUUGAUAAUGUGUACAACGAGUUUCCUUUUUGAUGAGUCCUGCUCAAUGAAGCCUAAUGAUUGUUGCACAAGAACGGAGAUUUGAAUGGUGCUGCUUGUUGUAGCCUAGUCACCGACUGGGCUCCAAGUGCACCUCGUGUAAUCAACAACUCUGAAAUCUCAAUGAAGGCUGAAUGAGUCCUUAACUUGGCUGGCCAUGUGUGGUUGAGCUAUGUGAUAUUUGUUUGAUCGUUUUGGGCUCUUUUUGCUCGAUUUUGUUCAGCUUGAGGUCAUUUUGAUGUGCACAGCUGGGUUGAGGAACAAACUGUUGAUUGACUCGAGCCUAUUUGGUUUAGUAUGGGUGACUUGUGCAUAUGCUUAUGACAGGUGCUGAGUUUGCAUGAUUGUUCCAUGUUCGAUUUAUGUUGAUUUAAUGUGAUAUGGAAGGCUCGACCUGGCGUUUAAGCAUGUGGCUUAAUUGUGAAUUUGUUGGAAGAUGAUGUUGCUUGUCGUGAAGUAUGAAGGGUGUGGGGAGUGGACGAGACGUAGGAGUGGGCCACUUUCGAGAUUGAUUUGGAAGGGUUAUUUUGGUUGAUUUGUCCCUUGUCUCGAGUUAUCCAAUUUUGAACAUGAGCUAGGUUGCCCUUAGAAGAUCCAAUAUCACGCUUAUCUUUGCAUUUGAGCUCGAAAAUAAGGUUUGCUAUAUGUUGGGCAAAGAUUGCUGCUGACCAGUCAAGACAUUGGUGCUUUUCGUGUUGUUCAGUUAGUGACGAGGCCGCCCUGAGACAUCGGUGCUUUUCGUGUUUAUCAUCUUCUUUGUGCAGAUUGGUGGUGAGAGUAUAUGUCAUCUUUCUGUGCGAAACUUCCAUCCGAUCUUGUGGAUCUGGUAUGGGCAUCCGAAGUUGCAAACGGAUUUGUCGUGUCGAUGCUUGAGCUGCUCGUGUGAAUCAUGGAUUCAUUCGUUUUCUCUGGGGAGAAAUCAAUUGUCGAAGCAUGACGCGGCAAACAUCAAGAAAGUUGAGCCUUUUUAAACCGUUGUUUGAAUUGGAUUUAUUGGAUAUCUGUGUAUGCGCAUGAAUUAUUGUAAUAAUCAUUUUAUUUGAAGAUCUUAUCAUACUUUGUUGAGCAGCUUCAUCCGUAUUAAUAUGAUUGAGCUUUUUUGUCUGCA